AUCAGUGACACAUGUAGAGCAGUGUUUCAAUGGUAACAAUCAGUGACACCUGCUGACCAGUGGCAACUUAAUGACACAAAAAAGAGGAAAAUGUGACCGAUGAUU